GGGGUUAUAGCUCUGUGGUAGAGCAUAUGCUUAGCAUGCAUAAGGUCCUGGGUUCAAUCCCCAGUACUUCCA
rnacentral:tRNA from 1 species